rnacentral:rRNA from 1 species
CCAAUAGCGUAUAUUAAAGUUGUUGCAGUUAAAAAGCUCGUAGUUGAAUUUCGGGGUCAGUAGGUUGGUCGUGCCACCGGUACGUACUGGUCUCACUGAUUCCUCCUUCCUGAUGAACUGUAAUGCCAUUAAUUUGGUGUUGCAGGGAAACUGGACUGUUACUUUGAAAAAAUUAGAGUGUUUAAAACAGGCUAACGCUUGAAUACAUUAGCAUGGAAUAAUGAAAUAGGACGUUCGAUCCUAUUUUGUUGGUUUCUAGGAUUGACGUAAUGAUUAAUAGGUAUAGUUGGGGGCAUUAGUAUUCAAUUGUCAGAGGUGAAAUUCUUGGAUUUAUUGAAGACUAACUACUGCGAAAGCAUUUGCCAAGGAUGUUUUCAUUAAUCAAGAACGAAAGUUAGGGGAUCGAAGACGAUCAGAUACCGUCGUAGUCUUAACCAUAAACUAUGCCGACUAGGGAUCGGAUGAUGUUAAUUUUUUAAUGACUCAUUCGGCGCCUUACG